AGCAGCCGCGGUAAUUCCAGCUCCAAUAGCGUAUAUUAAAGUUGUUGCAGUUAAAAAGCUCGUAGUUGAAUUUCGGGAUCUGUCCAUUGGUCGGGCUUCACGGUCCGUACUGGUUCGAUGGGUUCCUACCUUCUGAAUAACCAGCAUGCCAUUCAUUUGGUGCGCCGGGGAAGCAGAGCUAUUACCUUGAAAAAAUUAGAGUGCUUAAAGCGGGCUAGUGCUUGAAUAGAUUAGCAUGGAAUAAUAAAAUAGGACGGCAUGGUUCUAUUUUGUUGGUUUCUAGGAUCACCGUAAUGAUUAAUAGGGAUAGUUGGGGGCAUUAGUAUUCAAUUGUCAGAGGUGAAAUUCUUGGAUUUAUUGAAGACUAACUUCUGCGAAAGCAUUUGCCAAGGAUGUUUUCAUUAAUCAAGAACGAAAGUUAGGGGAUCGAAGACGAUCAGAUACCGUCGUAGUCUUAACCAUAAACUAUGCCGACUAGGGAUCGGACGAUGUUAAUUUUUUAAUGACUCGUUCGGCGCCUUACG
rnacentral:rRNA from 1 species